AGCAAACAAUAUAUCAAUUUUACGGUUGACAUAAUUUUGCAUACGCAUCAAACUUUUGCAAGAAAUCAGAAAUAAAUCUUCUAAAUUACUAAACUAGAGUUCAGAACAUCAAGUUUUUAAUCCAAAAAUCAAAUCUUUACACAAAAUUAAGUUUUCUGUAAAAUUUCUUCAAAACUGCAAACCUAUCGAGAGAGAAACGAGCGGGAGGAGAACGAGACGACAUCGAUUUCGGAGGAGGGCAGCUCCGGCGAGCAGUCCGCUGUCGGCAGCAGCUGCUCUGCCAUCCCUUGCCAACUCUGGAGCAGCAGCAACGGCGGCGACUCUGGGCGAGCAGCAGCUCCAGCGGCGAUCUCCAGACGGUGGCAGCUGCAGCGGGAAACGCGGCGGCGUCAUCGAACCUUCGUCGGAGCCAGAGGUGAAAUCGCGUGUGGGUGUGCAUGCUGUGUCGGUGGGGGAGAAGAGGAAGGGGCAUCGGGCUCAAGCAGUACAACGCCGACGUGGAGGCGUAGGGCGGCGGUUCGCGCCGGACCCUCGCCGGCCUCAGGCGACGGCGGCGGCAGAAACGAGCAGAGGGAGAGAGAGCCGAGCCGUGUGAAAAAGAGAGAUGUGCGUUCUUUGUGUGUGUGCGUGAGUUGUGAGAGAAGAAAGGAGAGAGGAACGCGUGAGGUGAGGAUAAAAAAAGAGGGAAGGGUUUGCUUUAAACAAAAAUCUGAUUUGGGCUUCGUUUUGGGCGGAAUUUUUUUUAAGAAAAGAGAUGGG
rnacentral:lncRNA from 1 species